rnacentral:tRNA from 1 species
GGGGUAGUAGUUUAAUAAAAACAGUUCAAUUGCAGUGAAUUAAUACACUAAGGUGUGUACCUUC